AGAGGCCCUUUAUUUCCUCUUUGCUUUCUACCAUGAGGGUGGCGUCAUCUGCCUGUCUGAAGUUAUUGAUAUUUCUCCCGGCAAUCUUCCAGCUUGUGCUUCAUUAUCAGUACAAGUCAAUCAAAUCUUUUCAGGACUAACCUUUCACCUAGAGAGCAAAGCUCUCCCACUCAACUAUCAUUCAUAAAAUAUGUCAAAUGGUUUGCUCCAUGCUAUCAUAUUUACACACAUACAGAUGUGUGCCUGGAGUGGCCUUCCUUGUAGUAGUAGUUCAAGAACUCAAUUUCUGGGAAUUCCCUGGUGGUCCAGUGGUUAAGACUCUGGACUCUCACUGCCAAAGGCCCAGUGGAGAGAAGUGAAUUGGGUCUUGGAGCCACAGACCAAAGUUCAUAUCCAGGCUUAGAAGAGUGCCUGACUCAUAAUAGACACUUGAUGAAGGUUGAAUGGAUAAAUGCAUUAAAGGAGAGCUGGGAGUAGGAGGAGUUGUAGGAUUCAUUAAGAAGUCUGGAUUUUAUCUUGGGGGUAAUGGAAGUCAUUAAAAGAUUUGAAGCA